UGGGGUGCUUUACCAUGAAAUGGCACACAUAUGGCAAUGGAAUGGUAAUGGAAAAGCACCAGGAGGACUAAUUGAAGGGAUUGCUGAUUUUGUAAGGUUGAAGGCUAAUUAUGCACCUAGCCAUUGGGUGCAAGCAGGGCAAGGUGACAGUUGGGAUCAAGGUUAUGAUGUUACAGCUAAGUUUCUGGACUACUGUAAUGGUCUUAGAAAUGGGUUUGUUGCUAAACUUAACAAGAAAAUGAAGACUGGUUAUAGUGCUCAGUACUUUGUUGAUCUGCUAGGGAAGACAGUUGAUCAGCUUUGGAAAGACUACAAGGCCAAGUAUGGAAAAUAGAAGAGCUUGGCUAACUAAGAGCUGAAUAUUUGAAAAGUUACACUUUUAGCAGCUCGCAUCAAUAUACACAUCCUAUGAUCCUAAAUAAAAUUUGAAUAAAAUCCUUUUCAGAUGGGCAAAACUUAUUUCAUGAAUAUUUUUUUUCGAGUGCCCUUUUUCAUUUUGCUACUAUGCUUUCUAUUAGAACACACAUCUCACGGAUGUUAAUUAGCAAAAUCAUUAACCAUGAGAAAGAAGGGCUUCUCAUCAUCAAGUUACCAUGAAAGCAAUACUACUAUGUGAUUUGCUUGAAAUCUGUGAAAAUGGAAUCAUCAAACUAUUGUGAAGAAAUAUGAUGAUCCAUAUCUUAUACUUCAACUUAUUUGUUACUGAUUGGAUAAAUCAGCAACGAUUAUUCCAUUGAUGAGCAACACCACCCAUGACAUCUAUGAAUCUUCAAUUUCGUUGCUAACUUGUAAGCCAGUUGUUACUAAAAUCUUCAAUUGAAAAGAAAGUUAAAUACCUCUAUGUUACAAUCAAUGAACUGAUAAAAAGGCACCUGUUCUGGGUAACACAAUGUUCGGCAUGCUCCAAAAACCACGAACAUGUGCUCUACCAAGAAAAUUUACAUUUUGGGUGAUUCCAGUUACUCCUAACAAAUUCUAGAAUAAGGAUUUUAAUAAUAAUUAUGAGAUAAUCACACACUGUGAAAUAACAUUUUCAUGCAAUAGACCAUGGUUGGGCAAAUCAAUUGAAUUACUCGGAAUAUUUUGUCAAAACUUUAGAAUUGGUUUGCUUUUGUUUCAGAUUUUAGAAAUAAAAAAAAAAUCAAACAAAAAAUUUUAUAAACUGAGAGCUCAUUGCAAAAAAUAACCCAUCUAAAUACUCUUAAAUUAAAUUAGACUUAUUCAGCUUUUAAAAAUAUAAAACCUAAACCAAAUCGAUUGAUUUUGUUCUUUUAUUUGGUUCGAUUUGGGUUAUUUUUUUUUAUAAAAAAUAUAUGAGUUUGUUUUGGAGUUUUGGUCAAAACAAAAGCAUUUGAACGAUAUGCUCACCCCUACUAUAGAUAAGUAGAAAUAUAUUCAAACUCAAAAUUAUAUGGAUUUUAUUCUUUCAAUAAAUAACAUGAUGUUAAUAUUAGUAAAUAUAUCCUGUAAUCACUCGGUUACUUACACGUAACACUGAUUUUAUUCAUGUAAAAUAUGUUAAUUAAAUAAAAGCUUUAUUUAUCUUUAAUAUUCAAUUAUAUUUGAUUAAUGAAUUUAAUGUUUGAUUAAUAAAUUUAAAGUAAAGAUAAAGUUCGUGGAAUAAAAAUGUUUUCCAUAAAAAAAUAUAAAGUUCUUAUAAUUUUAAGAUUUCUAUUGCAUCAAAGCAUUAUUCCUAACUGUUAUUGGUUAAUAUUCCAUUAAGACCAGAUAUUAAUUAGAGCUGUUGAGAUCAAUGCAUAUUAUAUUCAUUUCUUUAUGAAAUGAAGUAGCUGCUCUCAUAAAUUAAGGUUUAAGGGAUAUCUGGAACUAAUUUGACAUGCACACCAAACUGAUUCGCAAGAUAAUUUCAUAUAAAGAGAUCACCUAUAUUUAUGGAAAGGCUCACAUAUGAUAGUUAUGUAAGUGACCCUUAGACUUAAGAUCAUUAAGUUAUCUUAUAUAUGGAGUGUGAUGCGAACCUCGUGAUCACGGGGUCACGCAACCCGCAACCAAGAUUGAGAUUUGAUCUUAGAAAGCCGAAAAAAGUUUGAUAGAAGUGUGACACAAUUGAAACCUAUCCCAAGACACCAAUACUAUUAUAAUGAAGUCGAAUGAUGCCAUGAAGCCAGUUAAUCUUUGAUAAGUUAGAUGCAGUUCAUUUAAGAACCAAAGAAUGUAAGAAUAUCUCUUACACAUUAAACUAAAAAGUUCAGAAGUGUUAUUCAUCAAAGGUUUGCCAAAACUUAGGCUUACAAGAGUUUAAGUACUUCUGAAAAAUUAAUCCUAAUGGAUCUACCUUUAUGAGCUGAAAUAACCUACUUACAAAACUGAUCCAAAACAUAUGCUAAUAAGCCCAAGCCCUGCCAAACAAGCCUUGGAUCCUAAUUGAAAACAAAGUAUUAAUUAAACCCAAAUAAGGCUUGAGCUAUAACUGAAAUAAUAAAAAUAAAACAUAUAAUUUAAUCCCCUAUGCUGUUGUGAGAAGAGAAGAAGAAAUUAAAUAAUACAAGUAUGAUAUAAGGCUUAUUUGUAACCUAGAAUGAUGCUUAUGAUCCCACAAAUUAAUAUAUCAUUAAAUACCACCAACUAUUUUUUCCUUGUGUUGCUAGGAUGAAAAAGAAAUUCUUGUAAAAAAUGGAUUUUGGAACAUUAAUGAAUCUUUCUACACUUGAAACUUAUGUUGCAACCCAUUAAAAAUCCUUGUAGAACUACAAAAUUUCCAAAACAAGUUGUCACAUUCUAGUAGGAAAAGGAUCAUUGCCAAAUAGGAAAUCCAUAAGUGAAAAUAAUAUUAUUUAUAAUAAUAAUAAUAAUAUUUAUAAUAAAAAUAAUAAUAUUAAACCUUCCUGACCCAAGUUUAAGUGGGUAUGGCUGCAACAUCAAACCCAAAAGCCUUGGGCCCCUCUUAAACGCCAAAUCCAAGAGCCUUGGGUCCGAAUGCUGAACCUAAGAACCUUGGAUCGGUCUGCAAGUCCAGACCCAAUAGCCUUGGGAUGGUUGCAAUGUCGAACCCAAAAGCCUUGGGUCUGGACGCUAGACCCUAGAGCCUUAGGUCUGGCUACCAUACUUGACCCGAGCACUUGGCGUCUGGUUGCUCUACCUAACCCGGGUGAUUAGGGUAUGGCAGUCAUGCCUGACCCAAGUGUCAAGUGUCUGGCAGUCAUGCCAUGCCCCAACGGAUGGGGCUUGACAACCUUACUAUGCCCCAACAAAAUCCGAACUGACCAUUUUUUCUCCAAUCAUUCUUUCAAUACAAAAUACAUUCCAUGGAAAAGACAAUCUCACCCCGACUGCAUGCUUAACAAGUUUUUUUUUUUUUUGCAAAGACAACUAUAUCAUUACACUACUUCAAUCCAUAAUAGUUUAUGUCUAGGUAAACAAUGAGAGGGGCACACAACCCUUUUAGUAUAUUGUAUAAUUAAUGACAAAUUAAUAAUGGACAUUAGCCAGCAAUUUUAGACAAAUUUGAUGGGUUUUUAAGACUAGUAUUUGCAACUUGCAAGGCUAGAAGAAAAUGAAGCAUAUAUAUGGACCUCAUAUAAUGUGUUCUUUACUCCUAGUCUCCUAUACUAUCUUUUUUACGUGACUGUGAUUGGCUGCUCAUUUAACAUGGUGAGGACCUGUUUUCAUGAGGACAUUUGAUAGUGGAGACUGGAGACUCUAAACCAUUUAUGGUUAAUGAUGAUGUUUAAAAUUUGAUAUACUCAAAAAAAUAUUAUUUGGUGUUUGGAUAAUGGUUAAUCACAUAUUCAUGUCAAUAUGUUCUUCUCUAGAGCUUAAGAAAUGUAUGAUUGGUGAUAGAAGUCUCAACAUCUACAAAACAGUUUUUUUUAAUGGGGUUUAGAGACUUUUCAAUGUUAAAUUUAGUGACUUUAAAUAAAAGAUUGUAGUAAAUAAAAGAAAGAACUUUAAAUUCUUAGAACAAAUGUUUGUUCUUGUUUUGAUAUGAUAAAUACUAUGUGAAUUAAAGUAUGAAUGCUUUGAGAAAAGAAAUUGUGAAUCAUUUAUCUAAGUGAUUUAGGGGGUAUUUAAAAUCCCUAAAAUUUGAUGUUUUGAUGGAGUGAAGGGACUAAUGAGUUAUUUUUUUAUGAUGAUAUAAAUGAGGGAUAAAAACCCCUUAUGUAUUAUUAAUAAGAUGAAAAUAUGGUAAGCUCUUGGAAGACCUUUUAUACACAUAUAGAUGUAUGAAGGUGAUUAUUCCUAACAUGAAUAAUUCAUGUUAAAAGUUUUUAGAAUAAAUAAACGAAGUCUUGUGGUCUUAAUAUGGGUCUAUAAUGAUCCUCAAAAUAUGGGUUUUUUUUUUUUACUUUUCAAUUUUUCUCAUAGUACAAUGACUUAAAUGCUCCUUAAAAUUAAACUUUCUUGGCUUUGUGUACAUAGGCGUUUUCAUCAUUUCAUUUUGGAUUUCUUGUAAUUAUCAUGUGGGUCAGAGAUAAUUAGAUCUUUUAAUAUAUAUAUAUAUAUAUAUAUAUAUAUAUAUAUAUAUAUAUAUAUAUAUAUAUAUAAUUUAAUUAGAUCUUAAAUGCUUCUUUAGGGGGCGCGUGUGGCUUCAAAUAUUGCCUUUCGGGGUAGCAUUCGAUGCGUCUCACCAUCCCCAUCAUAGUGGAGUGGUGCAUGCAUCCAGAUGAGCAACGGUUGAACUUCAACGGUGUAUUUCUUCUUCCCCCUCUUUUCUCUCCCCCUCCUCGAAUAGUGCAUUCAGCAUUGCAAAAAUUCAAAGAAAUUUGGUCAUUUGUUCAUUGAAUCAAAUUAGGUUUUCAUUCUUUUGAUUGCAAUAUAUUUGGUCUUGAAUCCUUUAUUGAUUUUUUUUUAAUUUUAUCAAUUGACAUUUGAUUUUUAUAUUAAGUUUGGUUCUCAUUUUUUUUUUCUUAUCACUUUAUUAAUUGAAAUUAUUUUUUAAUUUCAUCGCUUAUAAUUUGAUUUCAUUUUCUUAUGACAAAUUUAAUCCUCAUUAUUUUCAAAUCUUUUUUUUUGUUUAAUUUACUUUUCAAUUUUAUCCCUAAUUAUUUUGGUUGGUUGGGAAUUUGACAUUGUUAUUUUUCCGGGUUUGCCUUUUAUGGUGUAAUCCGGCUUCAUGAUCCGUGUCACGAGUUUUGAAGAUUAGACCAGUUUGGCUUCAAUCUUUUUAUGUCUUUUUUUUAUUUUUUUUAUUUUAAUUUCAUCCCUCAGCAUUGGGUUGGUUGGAGAUUGGAUCUUUUUAACUUUCUUUUCUAUAAGGUUAUCUUGAUCUCAUGUCGUCAUAGAUUAGACAGGUUCACUAGGGUUGACACGGGUCUUUUUUAUUGUUUUUUUAUUUUUAUUUUUUUCAUUUCUCCCUUUAAUAUAAGGUUGAUUUGAGAAUUGAGCUUCACAAUUUUAUUCAACUUGCUUUCCAUAAGGUUAUCUCAUUCUCGGAACUAGGUUAUAGAUUUGGUGUGCUGCCUUGAAUAGACUUCAGUUAAUUUUUUUUUCUUUUUAAAAUUGUUUUUUUUUUAAUUUCUUUAUUCAACAUUUUAUUUGCUAGGAAUUGAGAUUUAGAUAAUUUUUAUUUUUCUUUCUAUGAAAUUAUUUCAUUCUUAUUUAAUUUUUGUUUUGUUAACAAAUAAGAUUAUUAAGACUUUUUAUAAAUAUUAUAAAGAUAUAUUUUUAUAAUAUUGACAAGAGUUUAUUUUUUAUAUUGAAUUAUUGGUGGAUUUUUUUUUCUUGUCAAUAUCUUAUUUUCAAUUAUAUUACUAAACUAAUUAUAUUACUAAAUUAAUUGUGUUUAUUAAACCAGUUAAUGACUAUAAUAUUAUUUUUUAAAAAAAUAUUUACAUUAUUUUAACAUCCUUUUUUAUGUAAAAAAAAAUCUGCUCGCAACGUACUGAAAACCUGUCUAGUGUAUGCUAUAUCGGUCGAUCCUCGUGACCACACUCAAGUUACGAGUUCAAUUGGGCCACUUGCCGUCUUUAUUUUUUUGUUGACUUGUCUUGCACCACAUCCAACUUCCUACAUUAAUGCAUCACCACUUGGGGCAUCCCAACUAUCUACAUAAACCACAGAGCUAUAGCAAAUAUCUUAUGCAAAUCAAACACAACCAUAAGAAACCUGUUUCACUACCACUUGCUUGACCAUGUUUCGCCAUGUUUAUGUCCUCUCUUUGCUAGUAUUCCUAGCAAUCAACGCGGUUUCCGCAGUGGACUACACUGUCACCAACAGAGCCAGUGCAACCGCUGGUGGAGCCCGAUUCACCAGGGACAUCGGGGUCGAUUACAGCAAGCAAACACUCGCAUCUGCCACAGAUUUCAUAUGGAGAACCUUCCAGCAAUCUAAUGCCGCCGACAGAAAAAAUGUUCAAACAGUCAACUUAUUCAUAGAUGUCAUGGGUGGUGUUGCCUAUGCAACCAACAAUGAAAUCCAUGUUAGCAACGAUUAUAUAGGAAACUAUUCAGGUGAUGUCAGAAGAGAAAUCACUGGGGUGCUUUACCAUGAAAUGGCACACAUAUGGCAAUGGAAUGGUAAUGGACAAACACCAGGAGGACUAAUUGAAGGGAUUGCUGAUUUUGUAAGGUUGAAGGCUAAUUAUGCACCUAGCCAUUGGGUGCAAGCAGGGCAAGGUGACAGGUGGGAUCAAGGUUAUGAUGUUACAGCUAAGUUUCUGGACUACUGUAAUGGUCUUAGAAAUGGGUUUGUUGCUGAACUUAACAAGAAAA
rnacentral:lncRNA from 1 species